rnacentral:rRNA from 1 species
CGAAUGACUCUCGGCAAUGGAUAUCUCGGCUCUUGCAUCGAUGAAGAACGUAGUGAAAUGCGAUACUUGGUGUGAAUUGCAGAAUCUCGUGAACCAUUGAGUCUUUGAACGCAAGUUGUGCCCRACGCUUUGUGGCCGAGGGCACGUCUGCUUGGGCGUCAUGG